AAGUAGAAUUACAAUCAGAGAGAAGGCUCUGGAACGAGAACAAUCAGAACAGAUUGGAGUGAUGUGGGCAAUAAGGCACGGAAUACCAACAGCCUCUAGAAGCCGGAAGAAGCAGGAACAGAUUCUGCCUUGGAGUCCAGAUGGAACCAGCCCUGCUAACACCUUGAUGUUAGCCUGGUUGACAGAUCCUUCUGAGGGAACAGAAACAACGUAUCAUCCCACACAAUUCUGGGGUUACCUUCUCAUUUUGCUGACGCUACCUCUAAAGAAGAGAAGAUCAUAGCUGACGUGUGACUGGGCUCCUGUCUAUGUGCAGAUGAUGGAAGUGGCCAUACUGGAAGGCACGAAGAUGUCCAGAAGAAGAGACAGACAGAACACCUUGCAUUCAAGGAACUCUGAGAGACCUCUCAUGAUAUUGAAGGUAGACAAAAUGAAUGAAGGAGGACAAUUUGGAGAAGCACUGUUUUCAGCAAUAAUCUUACAUAUGAGGGGAAACCAGUAUUGUGAGAAGACUCAGAAAACCCUUGGAGAGGCUCACAUGGGGAGGAGGAACUGAGACCUGCCAAAAGCAGUGACCUUGGAAAGUAAUCCUUCCCACUGAGCCUUGAGAUGCCUCCAGCUCCAGGCAACAGCCUGACCGAAACUUCGUGAGAGACUCGUAGGCAGAAUCACCCAGCGAAGCCUUGUGGAACAGCCGCUGAUCCUCAGGAACAGCGAGAUAGUGUUUUUUUUUUUGUGUGCACUGCUAAGUUCGGGGUCAUUUGCUUUGCAGCAAUAGGUAACUAAUACACUUAUAGUUCCUUACUUUCUCUUCUACUAAAGUAUAAACUUUUGGAAGACAAGCAUACCUGCUACUGAUAUUCCAUUUUUAGUCAAGGUAAUACGUGCCUACAGCUGUAAAAAUAAAACCUCAAAAAACUUAGUGCAAUAAGAAUUUACUUUUUCCUAACACCAAAUCCAAUAUAGGUAUAUUUCUCUAAGUGGUGAUUCAGGUGUUUAGGCUCCUGAUAUCUUUUGGCUCCAUUGUUCGUUAGUCACCUCAGAGGCAUAUGUUACUUUCCUUGCAUCUGGAGAGCUGAGAAACAAAAACAGAGUAAAAGAGGCAUGUUGGUUCUUUAAUGUCUUGGAAUGGAAGAGAGCCAUUGAAUUUCACUCAUAUUUCAUUCCUUUUAGAACUCAAUCACAUGGAUCCAUCUAGUCAGUCACACAGAAGGCUAAAAAAUACAGUUUUCUUUUGUUCCUAAGGAGGAAAAGAACCAGAUAUGGGAAAAAACUAGCAAUGUCUUCCACAAGUUUCUAAACUUUAUAACAUUUAAGUCAGUGUUCUAUAAAAUUAGUGCUCUAAAGAAUUUGUUGAAUGAAUGGAUGAAUAAACUAAUGAAUUAUCAUAGAAUAAAAUUUUAUUU